GAGGAGAAGAAAGGAGCCGGGCUUUGGGGCAGGAUGUCUGGGCCGGAACCCCGGGUCUGCGGCUCCCCGGCGGGUAACACCAGGCCAGUUGCCUGGCCCGCCCGCACUGCACGUUCCUCAAGCCUGAGAUGGCAGUGACAGGCGGGCCCUUCCCUUACAAGGUGCCUGUGAGGAUUAAGUGAGAUGCUACACGCGGAGCGGGGCGCUCAGACUGCAGGCCCAUAGUAAGAGCUCGAUGAACAGUAACCGUAACUGUCAUUUAGAACCCACUCAAGGUUCUCAACCUCUCCAGGGGCGAUAAAUGCCCCAAAGAGUGCUAUCAAUCUUACUGGACAAGCGGGAACCCUAAUGUAGAGAUGUGCCUUAUGCGGAGGAGGAGGAAGAAGGGAUAAUUUACUUAGCACUUGCCCAGUACUGUAUUUCGGGUUGACAUACAUCUCUAGAAUCUGACGCCUUCCCUUUUCCCUAAUUAGCUAUCACCUGGGGUGACGACUCCGAGAAAUCCACACAACUAGAUUCUGUACUUUUUUACCGGCUGUAGGACUAACUGCAGACUGCGAGUCUUUCUCUGAAGCAUCACUUUACAUGAGCCAGAAACUGUAAUUUCCACUUUGCUGCACCUCUGAGUACAGGCGGCAGGUGCCAAGUGUUCCAAGCCAUCCUGUUUCAGGGCAGCUGUUUUUGCUACCGUGGAGUGUAGACAAGAGGGAAGAAGUGCUCCCUGGAAUCCAAGCCCCCCCCCCCCCAGCACUGGCACACUUGCAAGGAGUGCUCUCCAACCCGAGGAUCGAGGAUCGAGGAUCGAGGAUUGAGUUCCCUCAACCACCCAGAAUGCUAAUGGCUCCCCAAGCCCUCGUUUAUGCAGAAUUCGUGCUUGGUCCCCUUUGAUUCCCUCACAGGCUCUUCCUGCUAGAGAUUUCAGAGUUACGGGAGGUUUCGCUGCUCACACCCACUUUAUCCUUUUCUGUAAUUAAAUGUACAGACCCUGUGACUUAGAGUUCAUCUGUCAGCGUAAAAUUUACAUACCGACGCUUAUUAAAUAUUAAAGCUACUCUCCCUU